GUGAACCCUCGAGGAGUUUGCAGUCGAUAAAAUCCAGAUUAAACUUCACCUUGAAUAUGAUGUGCCAAUAAGCUCCAGUUUGCUGCGGCUUUUCGCCCAUGGCAGUGGUCCUGCAAUCUAGAUCCAGGAGUUGCAGCUCUGAAUCUAAUAUUUCAGAAUGAAGAUAUGCAGAGUAAUACAGCCAGCAAGAGGAAACAAUGCAUUAGUAUCCAAGGGUGAAAUUCCAGUAUGUGAAAAGAAAAUCCAAGGGAGCUAACCCUUCUCACAUCACAAGAUUCCAAUGUGCCAAAAAGCUGCCAUAGCUGAGGUCAAGCAACGUGAAGUCGGGAGAGGCAGCACUGAUCUGAUUCAUGAGUCUGAUGCACAUAGAAUAUCCUAUCAUUUGCUGGAGGCCAUUAAUUCUGCAGACAUGAGUGAUUUGAUUGGAUUGCACAAUAUCUUAACUCCUACAUGAAUAACACUAUCUGAUUGGCCUAGAACGGUCACAUGCAUGAUGUGUAUAUUCCAUAAUAAUCCCUGUAACUUUCAACAUUUUCACAAUAUACUCAUAAUAUUACAAUUUAAUUGUACAUAUUAUAACACAUGAUAUGACAAUCAAAUUGUAUACAGUUGUACAGCAGCUAAUAAAAGCAAGUUAUUUUAUGAUAUACUCAUGAUAUUACAAUCACAUGACAGAUGACUUCCAGCCUUUUUAUAACAUUUACAAUCAAAGUGUACAUACCAGGAUAUUUUUGCUGAUUUUUACUUUAAAUCGUUGCUUCUGAUUAUUUGGUAAUUCCACCACAGGCGGUGUUGAUGAUUUUACUAAUUAUACCCCCGACAAACGAAGUUUGAAAGGGGUAUAUUGGAGUCGCCCUGUGGUCCGUCGGUCCGUCAGUUUGUAAGUCAGUCCGUUGCAAUUUACCUUGUCCGGAGCAUAACUUAAAAACAACUGGAUGGAAUUGGAUUAAACUUCAUAUAAUGGUAGAGCAUAAUGAGAGGAAGUGCAGUGUACAAUAACCAUAACUCUAUUCUUGCUUAUUACUGAGUUAUUGCCCUUUGUUACUUUUUUUGUCCAGACUCCAGAGUAUACAUUGAAAUGUACUGGAAUUCAUUGAAACUUCAUACAAUAGUAAAGCACAAUGAGAGGAAGUGCAGUGUUUAAGAACCAUAACUCUACUUUAGCUAAUUACUCAGUUAUUGCUCUUUAUUUGUUGUUUUUUUCCAGACAUUAACAGCAAAUCACUAGAUGGAAUUUAUUGAAACUUCAUACAAUGGUAAAGCACAAUAAGAGAAAGUGAAGUACACAAAAACCAUAACUCUAUUUUAGCUAAUUACAGAGUUACGGCCCUUUGUUACUUUUUCUUGUCUGGAGCGUAACUUGAAAACUAUUGGAUGGAAUUUAAUAAAACUUCAUACCGUGAUAAAUCAUAAUGAGAGGAAGUGCAGUGAACAGGAACCACAAUUCUAUUUCAGCUAAUUACAGAGUUGCUGCACUUUGUUACUUUUUUUGGA